rnacentral:rRNA from 1 species
CCUUGUAACACACCGCCCGUCGCUACUACCGAUUGAAUGAUUUAGUGAGGUCUUCGGACUGGUGCGCGGCAAUGUCUCGGCAUUGCCGAUGUUGCCGGGAAGAUGACCAAACUUGAUCAUUUAGAGGAAGUAAAAGUCGUAACAAGGUUUCCGUAGGUGAACCUGCGGAAGGAUCAUUA